GACGAACGCCGGCGGCGUGCUUAACACAUGCAAGUCGAACGGAAAGGCCCUGCUUUUGUGCGGUGCUCGAGUUGCGAACGGGUGAGUAACACGUGAGUAACCUGCCCUUGCCUUUGGGAUGACUUCAGGAAACUGGGGCUAAUACCGGAUAGGAGCUCCUGCUUCUUGGUGGGGGUUGGAAAGUUUCGGCGGUUGGGGAUGGACUCGCGUCGUAUCAGCUUGUUGGAUGGGUAGUGGCUUACCAAGGCUAGGCCGGGUAGCCGGCCUGAGAGGGUGAGCGGCCAAAUCGCGACGGAAAUACGGCCCAGACUCGUACGGUACGCAGCAGUGCGGAAGAGUACACAAUGGGCGGAAGCCAGAUGCAGCAACGCCGCGUGCGGGAUGACGGGCAGCGGUUAGUAAUCCAAUUUCGCCUGUGACGAAGCGAGAGUGACGGUAACGGGUAAAGAAGCACCGGCUAACUACGUG
rnacentral:rRNA from 1 species